rnacentral:rRNA from 1 species
UCCGUAGGCGGUGUGGCAAGUCGGAGGUGAAAUCUCUGGGCUUAACUCAGAGGCUGCUUCCGAAACUGCCGUGCUAGAGUGCGAGAGAGGCAAGUGGAAUUGCGGGUGUAGCGGUGAAAUGCGUAGAUAUCCGCAGGAACAUCCGAGGCGAAAGCGGCUUGCUGGAUCGCAACUGACGCUGAGGGACGAAAGCUAGGGGAGCAAACAGGAUUAGAUACCCUGGUAGUCCUAGCCCUAAACCAUCAGGACUUGGGGUUUGCCCUGUACGGGGCAAGUCCCGUAGCUAACGCGUUAAGUCCUGCGCCUGGGGAGUACGGUCGCAAGGCUGAA